UGCUUAGCUUUUUAAACUUUUUCCAAUUAAAAAUUAUUUUAUUAAAAUUGUUUUCAAUUACAGUUUACAUCCAAUAUUAUUCUAUAUUCGUGUCAGGUGUACAGGAUAGUGAUUAGACAACCCUUCCUUUACCCCAUGUCCCCGAUAUUUGCAGCCCCCGCCUGGCACUGUCCAUAGCACUCCGGAGCUUUCCCAGGGCAGGGAGAGGCCAUGAAGACCUCAUGGGGUAGCUCAGUCACCAAGGCUGCCCGAGGGCAGGUGAGCUGCCAACACCUGAACUGACAUUACCUCUCUGUCUCCUGCCCCAACAGGGGGUGGUGUGUCUAAACUGACCCGGAGGGC